rnacentral:rRNA from 1 species
UACGUAGGUGGCGAGCGUUGUCCGGAUUUACUGGGCGUAAAGAGCGCGCAGGCGGUCGUAUAAGUCGAAUGUGAAAGCCCCUGGCUCAACUAGGGAGAGUCAUUCGAUACUGUUCGACUCGAAGGCAGGAGAGGGAAGUGGAAUUCCGGGUAUAGUGGUGAAAUGCGUAGAUAUCCGGAGGAACACCAGUGGCGAAGGCGACUUUCUGGCCUGUUCUUGACGCUGAGGCGCGAAAGCUAGGGGAGCAAACGGG